rnacentral:rRNA from 1 species
UGGGGAAUAUUGGACAAUGGGCGCAAGCCUGAUCCAGCCAUGCCGCGUGAGUGAUGAAGGCCCUAGGGUUGUAAAGCUCUUUCACCGGUGAAGAUAAUGACGGUAACCGGAGAAGAAGCCCCGGCUAACUUCGUGCCAGCAGCCGCGGUAAUACGAAGGGGGCUAGCGUUGUUCGGAUUUACUGGGCGUAAAGCGCACGUAGGCGGACUUUUAAGUCAGGGGUGAAAUCACGGGGCUCAACCCCGGAACUGCCUUUGAUACUGGAAGUCUUGAGUAUGGUAGAGGUGAGUGGAAUUCCGAGUGUAGAGGUGAAAUUCGUAGAUAUUCGGAGGAACACCAGUGGCGAAGGCGGCUCACUGGACCAUUACUGACGCUGAGGUGCGAAAGCGUGGGGAGCAAACAGG